rnacentral:misc_RNA from 1 species
CUCCUUAACCAAGCACUAUAACGCUUGCCGGUUUGUGCCUGCUUCUUCUCCUCCCCGCCUCACAUUUCGAAUUUGCUUGCCCAUCGCACAGCUGGCUACUCGCUUAUUUUCUUUUUUUUCCUACUCGAUUUCUGCUUCUCAGCCGGGCAUUUUGGCUGCUUUCUCACAGCAAUCGUGGCACCAACAACGCCCAGACGCACACGGACGCGGUCGUGAGCAUUCGGAAAUGGGAAAAUCAAAGAAGCACGGGAAACCAGUAAAAGGCGCCUCGAAGAAGGGAAGCAAGCAUGACAAGAGCAAGCGCAAGGCCAAGUUCAUAGACCCCACGAGCAGCGUAAGUCGCGAUGUUCGCGAAACCGUGGCGGCCCUCGUUCAGGAAAUCGAGCGCGAGGAGCCGGUGGCGGAGGAGAAGCUGCAGCCUCUUAAAAAAGGGAAGAAGUGCCAGGAGAUCGCAGAAAAAGAGGGCAUCCUCGUCAAAACCGGCAUGACGAAGGAGCAGGCGCACACGAUCGCUAACCGACUCAAACAGCAGCAGAGCACGACGCACCGCAGCGACGGCGAGGGCGACGUGGGGAGCGACGGCGGCGGCACCGAGGAAGACUACAGUGACACGGCCAACGAGCCCUCCCGGGAGUACCGCAAGGGAGGCUACCACCACGUUGUCAUUGGUGAAGUCUAUAACGACCGCUACCGCGUCGUCAAGAAGCUGGGCUGGGGCUACUUCUCUACUGUGUGGCUAGUGUGGGACUAUGAGAAGGAGCGCUACCAGGCCAUGAAGAUUCAGAAAUCGGCGGCCAGCUACAGCGAGGCCGCCUACGACGAGAUCAAGCUGCUCUCGGAGAUCAUGGAGGCAGACCCGCACAAGAAUCGUUGCUGUGCCCGCUUGAAUGACUACUUCAAACACACUGGGCCGAAUGGCACACACGUGUGCAUGCUCUUUGACGUUUACGGCGAGAACUUGCUUUCCCUGAUGGAGCGCUACGAGUACCGCGGCAUCCCGCUACCAAUUGUGAAGUGCAUUGCGCGGCAGGUGCUUAUAGGCCUCGACCACAUCAACUCUAUCGACAUCAUCCACACAGACCUCAAGCCAGAGAAUGUACUCUUAUCGACCCCGAAGCAUUCUAUAAUAUCGCUGAUGAAGCAUUUCCACCCGCCUCCGUUGCAUCAGCGCCCAAAGCUGACGGAGCGCGACCCCAAGACCAUGACCAAAUCACAGCGAAGACGCUACUACAAGAAGCUGGCGAAGGAGGAGCGAAAGACGCUCCUGGGCGAGGACGAUGGCGACCACAAAUCUAGAGGCGACGAACACGGCAGUAACGAGAACGGAGACGCAGAUUCGGAAGGAAGCAAGACCGACCCGGAGUGGGAGGUCGAGCGCUUUCAUCAUGUCAUCCUGGCCGACUUUGGUAAUAGCUGCUGGACAUACAAACAGUUCACGGACGAGGUGCAGACACGACAGUAUCGCUGCCCCGAGGUUAUCCUAGGCGAGCCAUAUUCGACGCCAAUUGACAUUUGGUCUUGCGCCUGCAUGAUUUUUGAGCUCAUCACCGGCCAGUUCCUCUUCGAUCCCAAAAAGGGCGACGACUACUCGCGUGAUGAGGAUCAUCUGGCUCUAAUGAGCGAGCUCCUGGGCGACUUGCCGGAGAGCAUGCGACUGGGCGACGGCAAGUACCGCAGCUACUACUACAACUCGAAAGGGGACUUGCGCAACAUCAAAGAUCUACAGUACUGGGUCCUGGAGGACGUGCUCCAUCAGCGGCACAAGUUUACCAAGAAAAAGGCUAAGGAGAUCGCCGACUUCCUGCUCCCUAUGCUAGAGUACGCGCCCGACACCCGCGCUACCCCUGCCGCAAUGCUGCGUGACCACGACGCGUUCUUCGAUAUCCAGGACGACGACUAUGCGCCGCUGUGCUUCGUUGAUGAGGACAGCGGCGACGAGGAAGGCUCUGCUUCGGACGAGGAGGAGGAGGAGACCGACAGCGAUGACUCUUCACAGUCCUACUCCUCCGCUCCUUCCAGCGAGCUGACGGCGAAGCGCUCCCGCCAGCCGGACAACGAUGCCGACCGCUCCGACACCUUUCGGUACUGGGAGGAGCAUCCCAUUCUCAACCGCACUUACCUAGAGGAGCGAGGGUUGACUAUUGCCGACAUCCAGUCGGUCCUCGCCGGGAACUUCUUAGAUGACGCUGCAGCCCAUGAGGCUGCCGCGGAGGUGAUUCGUCUGCUCUCGGAGGAGACGGACCGGCUCUCGAACGACCACGGCAGCGAUGGACACGAGGCGGACAAUGAGGACGGGGGCGACGGCGAUAAUGACGACGAGGAGGAGACCACACAGGGCUCUGAAGGACCAGAGAAGGUGGUGGUGGGCAAGGCGGCUCCGUGCGACGAUGGCGUCGACGAAGACGACGAGGAAACCACAGAUGAAGAGGAGGAGGGGAGUAGCGAUGGUGCUGAGUAGAAGGUAACGCUGUUUUAAAGGGCACAAAACAACAAACAGGAUAAACGCAGCUGCCCGUGCGACGCAGAGAGGCCCAUGGCCAAAUAUGCACACGUUUACAAAAGGGAAAGGAGACGGCAACGCCGCAUCUCCGCUACUGUUCGUUUUUGCCUCCCUUUUCUCCGUUGCGGCUGCUCGCCGGCUUCGAUGGGUGUCCUGCUUCGUACAAUAGCCUAGUAAAACGGUGAGCAUUACUCCGCGCCCGCAGUAUGCGGCUGCUCAGGGCAACAUGUGGAGGGCCACUGGGCUGGAGGUCAACGCAUGGAAGAAGAUUGCGCGAUCAAAGCAGUCUUUUGCCGCAACGACGCGAGAAAAAGGGCUGUCUACUUCUCUUGAGCAUCUUGGAAAACUGAUACCGGCUCCCCCCUCUCUUUCCCGCGCUGUAAUGCAUCCGCUCUUUCCGUGCAACUCUGCUCUCCUUUUACCUGUGCUGAUUAUCUCUUUCCUUUUCUGUUCGUGCAUUGGCGCACUUGGGACCUCAUUCCUCUCGUCGUGUUUUCCCUUUUUUUUUCCUGUGCCGCUCAUACACACACACACGCAAAUACACGAUCCCUCCUCUGACGUUUGUGUGGCCGUUUGCGCCACGCAAAACGAAACACUUGCGCUCCGUCUAUUAUUUUCUUUUGUUUCGACAACGCAACACGCUUGCGCUCGCCCGCUCCCUCGCGCUCCCCCUUUCCUACUGCUGUGCUGAAUCUUGUGCAG